GGGAGUUUGGCCGAGUGGUUAAGGCGCCGUGUUUAGGUCUAUUGGGCUCUGCCCCGGUAUACCAGAAACCCGCGGUGGGAAACCGCGCAGGUUCGAAUCCUGCAGCUCUCA
rnacentral:tRNA from 1 species